rnacentral:rRNA from 1 species
AUUGAACGCUGGCGGCAUGCUUUACACAUGCAAGUCGAACGGCAGCGGGGGCUUCGGCCUGCCGGCGAGUGGCGAACGGGUGAGUAAUGCAUCGGAACGUGCCCAUGUCGUGGGGGAUAACGUAUCGAAAGGUACGCUAAUACCGCAUACGUCCUGAGGGAGAAAGCGGGGGAUCGCAAGACCUCGCGCGAUUGGAGCGGCCGAUGUCGGAUUAGCUAGUAGGUGAGGUAAAGGCUCACCUAGGCGACGAUCCGUAGCGGGUCUGAGAGGAUGAUCCGCCACACUGGGACUGAGACACGGCCCAGACUCCUACGGGAGGCAGCAGUGGGGAAUUUUGGACAAUGGGGGCAACCCUGAUCCAGCCAUGCCGCGUGAGUGAAGAAGGCCUUCGGGUUGUAAAGCUCUUUCGGCCGGGAAGAAAUCGUGUUCUCUAACAUAGGACAUGGAUGACGGUAUCGGACUAAGAAGCACCGGCUAACUACGUG